rnacentral:sRNA from 1 species
UUUUUUUGUAUUUAUAGUAGAGACGGGGUUUCACCGUGUUAGCCAGGAUGGUCUCGAUCUCCUGACCUCGUGAUCUGUCCGCCUCGGACUCCCAAAGUGCUGGGAUUACAGGCGUUAGUCACCGCGCCCAGCCACCUUUGUUUGUUUUUGACAGAGUCUCGCUCUGUCGCCAGGCUGGAGUGCAGUGGCGUGAUCUCGGUUCACUGCAACUUCUACCUCCCAGGUUCGAGUCUCCCGCCCCAGCCUCCUGAGUAGCUGGUAUUACAGGUGCCCGCCACCAUGCCCAGCUAAUUUUUAGUAUUUUUAGUAGACCACGUAUGCUAGGGUGGUCUUGAACUCCUGACCUCAGGCGAUCCACCCGCCUCGGCCUCCCAAAGUGCUGGGAUUACAGGCAUGAGCCACCACGCCCAGCCCAGAUACACCUUUGACAAGUUCUUCCUUCUGGUGGGAGACAUAUGGGGGAAGCAAUAAGAUAAACUGAGGCGAUAUAAGUAAUAAGAUAAAAUGGGGUCAUGUGGUCACCCGACCCCAGGGCAGAUGGAGGGCGUGGGGACUGCCACAGGAAGGGACAAUGGAAUGAACCCCACAGGGCGAGAAGGGGCAGCCUGCAAGAGAUGGGGGGUCUGAGGCCCAGUGAGGGCAGGCUGGGGGGCUGGCUUGGGAGCUGUACUGGGUCAGGGCCAUGGACUCUGUUGUUGGAUUUGCUAUGAUAUCCUGGUGCUGCCCCCACUCAGCAUGUAAUAUGCUCAGGUGGAUUCUCUCCCAAGCCCAGCUUCAUGGGCUGAAAAAGGGGUGGGCUGUGGAGGGGAGAGGAGAGGCUGCACUCCACAGCCUUCACCUCCCUGGGCUGAAGUUUGCCCGGAGCAGUGUCCCUGGAAGUGGGAGAGGUUGGCGGUGAUCCACAGGUGCUCGCCAGGCCGGUGCCCUUUCCCCCAGAGAGCAGCGGCCUUACGUAACCAGAACCCCUAGGGCGGUGCCUGCCUCCUGGGGCCCAUCUCUGCCCGAGAGCCGCCACCUCCACCCUGCGAUUCACAGCCCCUGGCAAUGUUCUUGUCUUCUUAGACAUUGAUAAUCCAACCUCCGAGCUUUCUUGGAGUUUUUGGCUUUCUGAGGUGGGAGUGGGUUGCAGGCGAGGGGGCUUUCCAAGUGGACAAACUUUAUUCCCUCUGGUCUGUGCAUAAACUCAGGCAGUGGGCAGGCCUGGGAGGUGCCCCUGCCCCUGUCCCAUCUCCACCUGCACGUUUUAAGAUCCUCUGUGGCCACCAGACCCUGCCAGCCCUGGGGCCGGCAGGACCCUGCGCCCCUCAAGACGCUCCUCUUUAUUUUAGUGCCCCUCUCAGCUGAGGAGAAACCGAGAGCGGCGCUGGGGCACCUGAGCCCAGGAAGGCAACAGGCCGGCCGGGACCGCGAGUGCCUGGCGGAGCAGGCGCAGCCCAGGACUCCCGGCUCCCACCUCCGGCUGUAGUCCAGGGCCAAGGCUUGUGUUCAAUCGUGUGAAUGGCCGGCGGGCCCCCUCCACGUCCCCAUCCCUCGAGGGGACCCAGGAGACCUACACACUGGCCCACGAGGAGAAUGUCCGCUUUGUGUCCGAAGGUAGCGAGCGGGGCCAGAGGGUGCGGCAUAGGCUGCUGGGUCGCAAAAACAUGGACCCGGGAUGGCCCCACUUCAAGCUGACCCCCAGCCGCUGCAGGGCUGUGCUUUUCCUUGGCACUCUGCCCUUGUGUCCUGUGACCAGCCCUGUGUGGGGCUGGAGUCCAGGGUGACCAUCAGGCCCUGGGUGGGCGAUGGGGUGCCUGGGACCUGGCUCAGCCCGACUACCCUCCUCCCACAGCCUGGCAGCAGGUGCAGCAGCAGCUGGAUGGUGGCCCAGCCGGUGAGGGCGGGCCAAGGCCUGUGCAGUACGUGGAGAGGAUCCCCAAUCCCCGGCUGCAGAACUUCGUGCCCAUUGACCUAGACGAGUGGUGGGCGCAGCAGUUCCUGGCGAGAAUCACCAGCUGUUCCUAGUGGCUGCUGGGAGGGGGCGCUGCUACACGGCUGACCUGACGCCAGGAGAGAAGCAUGGCGCCCUGCCCACCCACUGCAUCUGGCUGGGUGCCGGCCACACCUGAAGUGCCAGCAUUUGGACUUUUGCACCUGUUUUUCCCUUGGCCCGGCUGUCCCAACCAAGCUGCCAUGGCCAGGGGCCGAGCCCGUCUGACCUCAGCCCUGCUCACUGUGCCCAGGGACCAGCGACCAGCCCCUGGGGCUAGCAGGGAGGAGCUCCAGGCUAAUAAAGUCGAGAAACUGUC